rnacentral:misc_RNA from 1 species
GCUCUCUCUCUCUCUCUCUCUUUUGAUCUGUCCUCUCUUUCCUUUUGAUGUGGGGCUUGGUCUUAAGAAACAAGGAAACAUGAAAGGAAGAAAAGAGGAACAAAAGUGCAGGAAAUUCCUCAGAAAACAGGGCAUAACACACCCCAGGGUGUGUCCCAGCAGCCCACCACACACGCCAGGGCAUGUGAUGUUCUGUCACAGCAAUCCAGCAGCGGGAAAUUGUUGUAAAAUUGAUUUUUUUCAGUCCAAAACUCUUCUAACUGCAAUCCUAUCACAGAUACUUCCUAUUCCAGUAAAAGAUUAUGCUCCAGAUUUAAUUUCCAGCCGGUUUAUUGUUUUAAUUAGGAUUUAUUUAUUUUCCUAUUUCAAUUAGGACUUGUUUCUAGUUUUCCUAAUUUACUUAGAAUUAGUUAUUUAAGUUUCCUUCUUUAUCUAUGGUUUAGUUUGUUAUAUUUAUAACCCAAAAUUCUAGUUGAUUUGGAAAAUCCUUUUCGUAAUUAAUAUUCCUAAAUUGAGUGGGAUUUGUAAUUAGAUUAGGAUUGAGGGGAUUAACACUAUAAAUAGAAGUAUGAUGAACAGAUUAGGCUUUCAACUCAUGGAGUGAGACUGUUACCCAUUGCAGAGAAAGAUUUUGUCAAUUGUUGAAGAUUUGGCUUUGUCCAUUGAUGAGGACUCUUGCCCAUUGCAGUCCCAUGGAGUGAGAGAGGCUUUGGCCUAAAGUAGAGAAGGACAUAGUCCAACAGAAAGGAGCUAUUGUCCAUUGUAGUUAAAGACACGCUUUAUGGUGUUGGUGUAGUGGCAGUUAAAAUAGUAAAUAUAUUGGAUUAUAUCUAGAGGAAAUUGAGAGAAUUAAUAUAUUUACUAUAAGCAGUUUUUGCAAGGGUUCUCUUGGAUGUAAUUGAGUUUAUGGGGAAUAUAGUUUUGAACUUGUAAUGGAUGAUUUAUUUAUAUAAUGAUAGUGCAAGAUGGCAUGCUUGUGGACGUAACGCUAUAAGGAGAGGGUAAACCACGCAAGUAUUGAUGUUUUGUAUGUUUGCUUUAUUCCUUUAUAGUUUACAUGUUUCUCGAUGCAUAACAAUUGGUAUUAGAGCAUGGGAAUUAUCUUGGUGAGUUCAAUUGAAGGUGGAGGAGCUAUGACAUGUAGAAAGCCACACAUGCAAUAAUGAUGUGCAAAGGUCAAGGUGGUGGAGAGUUGAAUUUACAGUGGAACUCUUGAUGCAAAAUCAAGAUGGCUUGAUGGCGCAAAAAUUGUUUGAAGAAAUAAGCAAGUUACACCUAAGAUGAAG